CCUAUCUCCCAAUCCCCGUCAUCAAGGAGCUCUGGUCACCUUACUCACCACAGGAACACAACACUACUUGGAAGCAGUGUUAUUUUGCUAUGAUCUUCUAUGAGGUCGAGGCACUUCCGGAGUCGGGCUGUUCCAGAUUGUGAGCAGGAAUUUU